rnacentral:rRNA from 1 species
CCUACGGGAGGCAGCAGUGAGGAAUAUUGGUCAAUGGACGAGAGUCUGAACCAGCCAAGUAGCGUGAAGGAUGACUGCCCUAUGGGUUGUAAACUUCUUUUAUAUGGGAAUAAAAUGUUCCACGUGUGGGAUUUUGUAUGUACCAUAUGAAUAAGGAUCGGCUAACUCCGUGCCAGCAGCCGCGGUAAUACGGAGGAUCCGAGCGUUAUCCGGAUUUAUUGGGUUUAAAGGGAGCGUAGGUGGAUUGUUAAGUCAGUUGUGAAAGUUUGCGGCUCAACCGUAAAAUUGCAGUUGAAACUGGCAGUCUUGAGUACAGUAGAGGUAGGCGGAAUUCGUGGUGUAGCGGUGAAAUACUUAGAUAUCACGAAGAACUCCGAUUGCGAAGGCAGUUCACUGGACUGCAACUGACACUGAGGCUCGAAAGUGUGGGUAUCAAACAGGAUUAGAUACCCUAGUAGUC